GAGAGGAGACGUGUUGCUGGAAGUGGCAGCAGAGGAGACAGGAAGCCACUAUGAAAGACAGGAAGUGAUGUCACGACAGGAAAUUCCAUGUGGUUUGAAUUAGAGAGGACAAAUUGCUCGACCUGGCAGAGCAGAGGAGAAAGCUUACAAAAAUAAAAUGAUGACGCAAAUGAGGAU